rnacentral:rRNA from 1 species
CAGCAGCCGUGGUAAUACGUAGGGGGCAAGCGUUGUCCGGAUUUAUUGGGCGUAAAGAGCGUGUAGGCGGCUUGACAAGUCUGCUGUGAAAACUCGAGGCUCAACCUCGAGAUGUCGGCGGAAACUGUCUGGCUAGAGUCCGGAAGAGGAGAGUGGAAUUCCUGGUGUAGCGGUGAAAUGCGCAGAUAUCAGGAAGAACACCUAUGGCGAAGGCAGCUCUCUGGGACGGUACUGACGCUGAGACGCGAAAGCGUGGGGAGCGAACAGGAUUAGAUACCCUGGUAGUCCACGCCGUAAACGAUGGGUGCUAGGUGUGGGCGGUGUCGACUCCGUCCGUGCCGAAGCUAACGCAUUAAGCACCCCGCCUGGGGAGUACGGCCGCAAGGCUGAAACUCAAAGGAAUUGACGG